rnacentral:tRNA from 1 species
UCAAGAGAUAGUUUAAUUAAAAUAUUAAUUUUGGGGAUUAAUGACAAAGAAUUUUCUUUUCUCUUGAA